rnacentral:lncRNA from 1 species
GGGGUAUCCUCCUUUGAUUAGGUGACUAAUCGGGUGACUUGGAGUUAAUAAAAAAAGGAGACAAUCCCUGGAGCCUGCAUCAGGAAAUUAAGAAGACAGAGAGCAAAGAGAACAGCAUAGCAAACAGUUGUGUGGCCACCAUCUCAAACCGACAAGUUUUCAUGUUUCAUCACAGUUGCUUGACAUUUUUAUAAAAGGAACGCAAUAUUACAGAUAAGGCUGCCUCCCUGUUCUCGUUCUCAGGGCACUCUCCCCGCAGGUACCAUGAAUUUCACCCCCCUGAAUCUGGCGUGGGUUUCUCCA